UACGAAGGGGGCUAGCAUUGCUCGGAAUCACUGGGCGUAAAGCGCACGUAGGCGGAUUGCCAAGUCGGGGGUGAAAUCCUGGAGCUCAACUCCAGAACUGCCUUCGAUACUGGCGAUCUUGGAGUCCGGGAGAGGUGAGUGGAACUGCGAGUGUAGAGGUGAAGUUCGUAGAUAUUCGCAAGAACACCAGUGGCGAAGGCGGCUCACUGGCCCGGUACUGACGCUGAGGUGCGAAAGCGUGGGGAGCAAACAGG
rnacentral:rRNA from 1 species